GACGAACGCUGGCGGCGUGCUUAACACAUGCAAGUCGAACGGAAAGGCCCUGCUUUUGUGGGGUGCUCGAGUGGCGAACGGGUGAGUAACACGUGAGUAACCUGCCCUUGACUUUGGGAUAACUUCAGGAAACUGGGGCUAAUACCGGAUAGGAGCUCCUGCUGCAUGGUGGGGGUUGGAAAGUUUCGGCGGUUGGGGAUGGACUCGCGGCUUAUCAGCUUGUUGGUGGGGUAGUGGCUUACCAAGGCUUUGACGGGUAGCCGGCCUGAGAGGGUGACCGGCCACAUUGGGACUGCGGUACGGCCCAGACUCCUAUGGGAGGCAACAGUGGAGAGUAUUACACAGUGAGCGGAAGCCUGAUACGACAACGCCGCGAGCGGGAAGACGGCCAUCGGGUUGUGAACCGCAGUCGGCUGUGACGAAGCGUGAGUGACGGUAAUGGGUGAAGAAGCACCGGCUAACUACGUG
rnacentral:rRNA from 1 species